rnacentral:sRNA from 1 species
UAAGACAAGCAUGAAAAAGUUUAAUAACAGCAUGGUCUAUUAAAUUCAUGACACGAGACAACAGUGCUUCAGGAAUACAAGACAAAAUGGCUUCGGGAGAGGCACAGAGAAGCAGCAAGCCUUCAGCUGUGUCUUUAAGGAUGAGUAGGUCUUUGCUGUGGGGGAGGGGAGUGUAAGAAGGGGAGGAUACUGUAGCCUGAGGAGAACAUUUAAGAAGGCAGGAUUGUGUGACUUGUGUCCACAGAAGGGCAACAAGACAGCUUGGUAAAAAGUCGAUGGUCUGUGGAAUAGAAGAUUAGAUUGGAUUUGAGGGUGAGGAGGGACUCUCCCAUACUCACAAGUGCCAGUCCUUUUAUUGAAUAUUUCCUACAAGUCCACUAUUCCCUAGGUCUAUGGGUAAGGGGAGAGACUCGGAUGGACGGUGUGACUCGAGCAAUGGUGGUCAAGGUAGUCACUCAAUGCACUGCUAGACAGUAAGUAAGGCACCGUCAGGGGAGAAGCCUGUGUGACCGCACCACAAAGUACCUUUUGUUUGAUUUUCAGCUAAAAUUUUAUGGUGCAAGAUGAGCAUGCCCAGAAACGUUCCUGUCCAUCACUGUAAUCUCUGUGACCUUAAACUGAGCAUGCUCAGGAACGGUUACCUCCGUGUGAAUGUGUGUCAGCUCCCUGAAUGAAAGCCCCACGCUUGCUUUGCUGCCAGUGUUGCUCUGGAAAUGACUCUCUUGGUCUCCUUGCCUGUUGCAGGGGCAUCUCUGCAUCAUUAGCCUUGCAAAACGGUCUGUUCCUACCACGCAUCAGACUCCAUGACACAUCCAAGACUCUCACAGAAGCACAAAAGGGGGAAGCAAACUAUUUUAGAGAAGUCUUCAUCAAUUUCUAUGAGGCCUCCCAUGUCCUUAACUCAUAAACACCCUCCCCUCUGUUGAAGAGAGCCUGUAAGAGCCCCUCCAGAUCCUCGGUUAUGCAUCUUUCCCAAGAGGCUUGCUCUCACUCCAAGCAUGUUCUUUCUCUAUGAAAUCACACUUUCUCCUGAUUACUUAAUAAAAAAAAUCAACUGUG